rnacentral:rRNA from 1 species
GUGGUGCAUGGUUGUCGUCAGCUCGUGUCGUGAGAUGUUGGGUUAAGUCCCGCAACGAGCGCAACCCUUAAGCUUAGUUGCCAUCAUUAAGUUGGGCACUCUAAGUUGACUGCCGGUGACAAACCGGAGGAAGGUGGGGAUGACGUCAAAUCAUCAUGCCCCUUAUGAUUUGGGCUACACACGUGCUACAAUGGACAAUACAAAGGGCAGCGAAACCGCGAGGUCAAGCAAAUCCCAUAAAGUUGUUCUCAGUUCGGAUUGUAGUCUGCAACUCGACUACAUGAAGCUGGAAUCGCUAGUAAUCGUAGAUCAGCAUGCUACGGUGAAUACGUUCCCGGGUCUUGUACACACCGCCCGUCACACCACGAGAGUUUGUAACACCCGAAGCCGGUGGAGUAACCUUUUAGGAGCUAGCCGUCGAAGGUGGGACAAAUGAUUGGGGUGAAGUCGUAACAAGGUAGCCGUAUCGGAAGGUGCGGCUGGAUCACCUCCUUUCUA